rnacentral:rRNA from 1 species
UGGGGAAUUUUGGACAAUGGGCGAAAGCCUGAUCCAGCAAUGCCGCGUGUGUGAAGAAGGCCUUCGGGUUGUAAAGCACUUUUGUCCGGAAAGAAAUCCUUGGCUCUAAUACAGUCGGGGGAUGACGGUACCGGAAGAAUAAGCACCGGCUAACUACGUGCCAGCAGCCGCGGUAAUACGUAGGGUGCAAGCGUUAAUCGGAAUUACUGGGCGUAAAGCGUGCGCAGGCGGUUUGCUAAGACCGAUGUGAAAUCCCCGGGCUCAACCUGGGAACUGCAUUGGUGACUGGCAGGCUAGAGUAUGGCAGAGGGGGGUAGAAUUCCACGUGUAGCAGUGAAAUGCGUAGAGAUGUGGAGGAAUACCGAUGGCGAAGGCAGCCCCCUGGGCCAAUACUGACGCUCAUGCACGAAAAGCGUGGGGAGCAAAACAGGAUUAGAUACCCUGGUAGUCCACGCCCUAAAACGAUGUCAACUAGUUGUUGGGGAUUCAUUUCCUUAGUAACGUAGCUAACGCGUGAAGUUGACCGCCUGGGGAGUACGGUCGCAAGAUUAAAACUCAAAGGAAUUGAC